GUGGGGAAUCUUGCGCAAUGGGCGAAAGCCUGACGCAGCCAUGCCGCGUGAAUGAUGAAGGUCUUAGGAUUGUAAAAUUCUUUCACCGGGGACGAUAAUGACGGUACCCGGAGAAUAAGCCCCGGCUAACUUCGUGCCAGCAGCCGCGGUAAUACGAAGGGGGCUAGCGUUGCUCGGAAUUACUGGGCGUAAAGGGCGCGUAGGCGGACAGUUUAGUCAGAGGUGAAAGCCCAGGGCUCAACCUUGGAAUUGCCUUUGAUACUGGCUGUCUUGAGUACGGGAGAGGUGAGUGGAACUCCGAGUGUAGAGGUGAAAUUCGUAGAUAUUCGGAAGAACACCAGUGGCGAAGGCGACUCACUGGCCCAAUACUGACGCUGAGGCGCGAAAGCGUGGGGAGCAAACAGGAUUAGAAACCCUAGUAGUCC
rnacentral:rRNA from 1 species